rnacentral:rRNA from 1 species
ACAUGCAAGUCGAGCGGGGAAGUAUAGCUUGCUAUACGACCUAGCGGCGGACGGGUGAGUAAUGCUUAGGAAUCUGCCUAUUAGUGGGGGACAACAUUCCGAAAGGAAUGCUAAUACCGCAUACGCCCUACGGGGGAAAGCAGGGGAUCUUCGGACCUUGCGCUAAUAGAUGAGCCUAAGUCAGAUUAGCUAGUUGGUGGGGUAAAGGCCUACCAAGGCGACGAUCUGUAGCGGGUCUGAGAGGAUGAUCCGCCACACUGGGACUGAGACACGGCCCAGACUCCUACGGGAGGCAGCAGUGGGGAAUAUUGGACAAUGGGCGAAAGCCUGAUCCAGCCAUGCCGCGUGUGUGAAGAAGGCCUUUUGGUUGUAAAGCACUUUAAGCGAGGAGGAGGCUACCGAGAUUAAUACCCUUGGAUAGUGGACGUUACUCGCAGAAUAAGCACCGGCUAACUCUGUGCCAGCAGCCGCGGUAAUACAGAGGGUGCGAGCGUUAAUCGGAUUUACUGGGCGUAAAGCGUGCGUAGGCGGCUUUUUAAGUCGGAUGUGAAAUCCCUGAGCUUAACUUAGGAAUUGCAUUCGAUACUGGGAAGCUAGAGUAUGGGAGAGGAUGGUAGAAUUCCAGGUGUAGCGGUGAAAUGCGUAGAGAUCUGGAGGAAUACCGAUGGCGAAGGCAGCCAUCUGGCCUAAUACUGACGCUGAGGUACGAAAGCAUGGGGAGCAAACAGGAUUAGAUACCCUGGUAGUCCAUGCCGUAAACGAUGUCUACUAGCCGUUGGGGCCUUUGAGGCUUUAGUGGCGCAGCUAACGCGAUAAGUAGACCGCCUGGGGAGUACGGUCGCAAGACUAAAACUCAAAUGAAUUGACGG